rnacentral:rRNA from 1 species
AGCUCCAAUAGCGUAUAUUAAAGUUGUUGCGGUUAAAAAGCUCGUAGUUGGAUCUCGGCAGGUAGGGGGCGGUUCGUUUCUGACGGCACUGCCCCAUUUACCUGUGUUUUUGACGGAGGUCUCAAGGUGGCUUUAACCAGCUGUCUUGGAACGCCGUCAGGUUUACUUUGAAAAAAUUAGAGUGCUCAAAGCAGGCUACAAAGCUUGAAUAUUUGUGCAUGGAAUAAUGGAAUAGGUCGUAGAUUCUAUUUUGUUGGUUUUCGGAAUUUUACGAAAUGAUUAACAGGAACAGCCGGGGACAUUAGUACUCAGACGACAGAGGUGAAAUUCUUGGACCGUUUGAGGACUAACUACUGCGAAAGCAUUUGUCAAGAGUGUUUUCA